GCAGUGGUGGUUCAGUGGUAGGAUUCUUGCCUUCCAUGCAGGAGAACCAGUUUCGAUUUCCAGCCAAUGCU
rnacentral:tRNA from 1 species